rnacentral:rRNA from 1 species
UACGAGGGGGGCAAGUGUUGUUCGGAAUCACUGGGCGUAAAGGGAGCGUAGGCGGGCUCUUAAGUUGGAUGUUUAAAACCGGGGCCCAACCCCGGCGUGGCAUCCAAAACUGGGAGUCUUGAAUGGAACAGAGGCUAGUGGAAUUGGAGGUGUAGCGGUGAAAUGCGCAGAUAUCAGGAGGAACACCAAUGGCGAAGGCAGCUCGCUGGGACGUGACUGACGCUGAGACGCGAAAGCGUGGGGAGCAAACAGG